UCCAGCCGCCCCCUCUCAACCCUCACAAAUUCACAGAAUCACAAUUCAUUGAUUCAGUGCUCACAGAUCUUUCAUCUUUCUCAAGUCUCAAACUCUCAAUCUCAGAAUCUCUCACACUCUCAGUCGUCCAGCCGCCCCCUCUCAACCCUCACAAACCAGAUAAAAAAUAAUUAAUCUUCAUCUCCAUUCUCCUGAGUUCUUGACUCUACAAAUCUGGACAAACCAGCCAUAUCCCUCUCCUAGUCUCCCACACGGGCAUGACACCCAACCCGACCCGACCUAACCUCCAGAUCUAGCAAACCAGUCACCUCCCUCUCUCACACCCGACCUGACCUUGAAUCUUGUAACACCAGGUAUGAUUUUUUUUUUCUCUCAAUCUCUAUUUUUUUUUUGAAAAAACAUAUGCUCUGUAGUGUGAUCUGUGUAUUUGAGAUUUGUGAACACUAGAGCUCAACAGUUACAAGAUCUUAUCCAGUAAGUAACUCUCUUUUACGUUUUUAUAUGGUGUUUUGAGUGCUGGAUUUUGUUUGUUUUAGAUGGUUGUGUACUGGGCGUUGAUAAAGUUUAGAUUUUUGGAUCUUGGAUGGUGUUUUUUUGGCUGAUUGUGCUUUGUGUGUUGAAAAAGGUGGGAUUUUUAAGGGUAAUGUGCAUGUUGGUGUAUUUGGGCUGUUAUGAAACAAUAAUUUAAUGUGAGUUGGACAUGUUUGAAGAUGAAAGGUGUUGCAUUUUUAUCUGUUUAAUCCUGCAAACUCGGAACCAUGAGGGCUUGUUUGUGUGGAUCCUGCAAACAGAUUAAUACUUGCAAAAAUGAAGAUUCUUCUAGCUUUCGCAUAGAUUUGCUGAGAAGCAGUUGCGGGCGGUGAGGGAUGUUGAGAAUUUGGUGGAAAAUUACAUGUAACAUUGGAUGAUAAUUAGUUCAGAAGUUACUUUGAUGGUAACAUACUACUCUUUAUUUUUACAUAUUCUAAUUUAUUUUAUCAUAUUAUAAUUUUAGAUUUUGAUUUUCAGGUUUUGAUGUCAAUGGUAUUAUGGAAUCAAAGUGCAAUGUUCUUGUCAUCUUGAUGUGCUUUCUAAUUGGGAUGAUGUGCAUAAUGAAGAUUUAUAUUUUUGCAUGAAGUGUUUUAUUUUUUAUGGCAAUGUUAUUUGUUAUUUCUUUUUAUGCCCUUUUGAAGGUAAUGCUUUGUAAUUUUAAUUUUAAUUUGGUGUGUGUUAUUUAAAUUUUGAUGAA